rnacentral:rRNA from 1 species
UGUGAACUCGAAGAGUAGGGCGGGACACGUGGUAUCCUGUCUGAAUAUGGGGGGACCAUCCUCCAAGGCUAAAUACUCCUGACUGACCGAUAGUGAACCAGUACCGUGAGGGAAAGGCGAAAAGAACCCCGGCGAGGGGAGUGAAAAAGAACCUGAAACCGUGUACGUACAAGCAGUGGGAGCACCUUCGGGUGUGACUGCGUACCUUUUGUAUAAUGGGUCAGCGACUUAUAUUCUGUAGCAAGGUUAACCGUAUAGGGGAGCCGCAGGGAAACCGAGUCUUAACUGGGCGUUAAGUUGCAGGGUAUAGACCCGAAACCCGGUGAUCUAGCCAUGGGCAGGUUGAAGGUUGGGUAACACUAACUGGAGGACCGAACCGACUAAUGUUGAAAAAUUAGCGGAUGACUUGUGGCUGGGGGUGAAAGGCCAAUCAAACCGGGAGAUAGCUGGUUCUCCCCGAAAGCUAUUUAGGUAGCGCCUCGUGAAUUCAUCUUCGGGGGUAGAGCACUGUUUCGGCUAGGGGGUCAUCCCGACUUACCAACCCGAUGCAAACUACGAAUACCGAAGAAUGUUAUCACGGGAGACACACGGCGGGUGCUAACGUCCGUCGUGAAGAGGGAAACAACCCAGACCGCCAGCUAAGGUCCCAAAGUCACAGUUAAGUGGGAAACGAUGUGGGAAGGCACAGACAGCCAGGAUGUUGGCUUAGAAGCAGCCAUCAUUUAAAGAAAGCGUAAUAGCUCACUGGUCGAGUCGGCCUGCGCGGAAGAUGUAACGGGGCUAAACUGUGCACCGAAGCUGCGGCAGCGACACUAUGUGUUGUUGGGUAGGGGAGCGUUCUGUAAGCCUGCGAAGGUGGCCUGUGAGGGUUGCUGGAGGUAUCAGAAGUGCGAAUGCUGACAUAAGUAACGAUAAUGCGGGUGAAAAGCCCGCACGCCGGAAGACCAAGGGUUCCUGUCCAACGUUAAUCGGGGCAGGGUGAGUCGACCCCUAAGGCGAGGCCGAAAGGCGUAGUCGAUGGGAAACAGGUUAAUAUUCCUGUACUUGGUGUUACUGCGAAGGGGGGACGGAGAAGGCUAUGUUAGCCGGGCGACGGUUGUCCCGGUUUAAGCAUGUAGGCGGAGGUUCCAGGUAAAUCCGGUACCUUUUUAACGCUGAGGUGUGAUGACGAGGCACUACGGUGCUGAAGUAACAAAUGCCCUGCUUCCAGGAAAAGC